rnacentral:rRNA from 1 species
GUCUAUGGCCAUACCACCCUGAACGCGCCCGAUCUCGUCUGAUCUCGGAAGCUAAGCAGGGUCGGGCCCGGUUAGUACUUGGAUGGGAGACCGCCUGGGAAUACCGGGUGCUGUAGGCU